GGCAAGGAGGGUGUUCUGCCUGUGACAUCUGCCACUCUACAGAGCAGCAGGGCGCUCGGCUGAUCUGGCUGGCUAGGCAGGUAUCCUUGUGCUCCCUCCUUGUUCUGUGAACUUGGUCAAAAACCUUCUCUGACAGAGGAGGAUUGUUCUUCAGUCAAGGGGACAUACACAGCUAUGCUCCCCUGCUAGAAGCUCCACACAAGACUGCAUUCUGAGUUUUGGAUGUGAUUUUCCUUAAUUGUAUAUUUUCAGAUAUUGAUUCU
rnacentral:snRNA from 1 species